rnacentral:rRNA from 1 species
GAUGAACGCUGGCGGCGUGCCUAAUACAUGCAAGUCGAGCGAACAGACGAGGAGCUUGCUCCUCCGACGUUAGCGGCGGACGGGUGAGUAACACGUGGAUAACCUACCUAUAAGACUGGGAUAACUUCGGGAAACCGGAGCUAAUACCGGAUAACAUGUUGAACCGCAUGGUUCAACAGUGAAAGACGGUUUUGCUGUCACUUAUAGAUGGAUCCGCGCCGCAUUAGCUAGUUGGUAAGGUAACGGCUUACCAAGGCAACGAUGCGUAGCCGACCUGAGAGGGUGAUCGGCCACACUGGAACUGAGACACGGUCCAGACUCCUACGGGAGGCAGCAGUAGGGAAUCUUCCGCAAUAGGCGAAAGCCUGACGGAGCAACGCCGCGUGAGUGAAGAAGGUCUUCGGAUCGUAAAACUCUGUUAUUAGGGAAGAACAAAUGUGUAAGUAACUAUGCACGUCUUGACGGUACCUAAUCAGAAAGCCACGGCUAACUACGUG